rnacentral:lncRNA from 1 species
GACUCACAUUCCUCAAAGCACCAGGAUUCUUCAGAGGUGUGUUGUCAUGCAGAGGAUGGCAGUCCUUUGUUUACCGCAUGCAGUAAGAAGACAGAAGAGCUUGCUUCAUUCCCAGCCCUCACACAGAUUUCCUGCAGGACUUCAAACAAGUCAUCAGAGCUGGUGGAGUUGGACAGACAACUGAGUUCAGUAUGCAUAAACUUUGUGAGGUUAUCCAUGAAGAUCUCAAGAAACUCUAGACGUAUCACUCUAAAAUGCAUUGCACUGUCUGGUGUAAGAAAGAUAAAAUAGCAGAAUUCAUCAAAUUAACAUUUCGCCAUUGACAAGAAGGGCUGUACUGUUAUCAGAGAUUUAAAUGCUUAUUCAAUCCUAUUGAUCGCAUAAAUAUAUACAAGCUUUUUUCUCUCAGUGCUUUUAUAAACCUUCAAAUGAGGUUGAUUCCUUCUGCUGAGAGAUUUAAUUGUUGGUAUAUGUUUUUCAUGUGAAUGAUGAAAGCCAACUAGAAUUACUGCUGAGUGAACUACAGCAAUCCAGGAUUAUGAUGAAUGGGAGUAGUGAAUGAUCAGUGACUGAUGUAAGCAAAACAUUGAGUCUGAAGCGCCUGUAAUUAGAGGGACAUGAUACUUUGGCUGAACAUUUCAAUGUCAUACAAGGGACAAAUACGAUAUUCGUCUUUAAGUACUGAAAGCUUCUGAGUGAGAAAUUAGUUAAUUACAAAAUGGCAUGUGGUUCUUACACAGCAAGCUAAUUCACCCGUUGUAUAGCUUCAGCAGAACAGGGCUCACUUACAUCAGGGCUGAACUGGCAAGUGAGAAUUAAAGCAUUGUGAAAUUUUUGUACACAGCCUGGGUUGACCUUAGUCCCACAGUGCCAUGCCAUUACAAAAUGUUGUUCAUGUUACUAAUCAAGAAGUGACCCUUUUCUCCUACAGCUUUUCAUAUCUGCUAGGCUCCGCUAUGAUGGAAUCAAUCUUAGGAAACAUUAUUCUCUGCCCAGGUUGCUGCC